GCAUUUCAGUGGUACCAGGCUGUUUAACAAAUCAUCAUUGUUUGAUAGAAAUGUUUAUCACCACCCUGUGGGCAAACCACUUGCAGAGUCUGAAUGUCCUUGGAGAUUGUUUUAUUAUUUUUCUGGAAACAAGUUGUUGAGUGUGGUCAUGAAAAUGCUGCUGUUAGACUUACAUAAUAUUCUGUGAAGCUUGAAAAAGCUGCAACUGCGCUCGCUCGCUCUCUCUCCCUCCUCCUCCUCCUCCUUCCCUCCCUUUCUCCCUCUCCCUCCCUCCCUCUCUCUCUCUCUCCUUCUUUCCCUUCCCCUCCCCCCUCUGCCAUUGUAUGGGGCCAGCAGUUCAGACACAGCAGUCAUUGCCAGAAACAAAAUCCGUGGGAUCUUGAGAAGGACAAGACAAGAAAAUGACCCCAAGGAGCAGAAUGCCCAGGUAAACUGGGUCAUUAUUACCACUUAAAAACAAAAGCUCCGAGCUCCCAUUUUCCUGCAUCCCACACUUCACGGUUGCUUUUAAGAAGCUAUGUUUCAUCCUAAGAAUUGCAUCAGGAGCAAGGCUAAAUAUUUUGCCUGGAAAAUUUGGCUGGUUGUGAAUGGAGAAGGUAUUUAUAUCCUACAUUCCAGCACCUUCCCAAAGAGCAGAUUAGACACCCCAGUGUACUUCCUUCAUCCGGGUGGGUUCCCUGCUGGUACCACUC
rnacentral:lncRNA from 1 species